UUUGAUCAUGGCUCAGAUUGCCCGCUGGNUGCAGGCCUAACACAUGCAAGUCGAGCGGCAGCACAAGUGAGUUUACUUAUGAGGUGGCGAGCGGCGGACGGGUGAGUAAUGCCUAGGGAUCUGCCCAGUCGAGGGGGAUAACAGUUGGAAACGACUGCUAAUACCGCAUACGCCCUACGGGGGAAAGGGGGGGACCUUCGGGCCUUCCGCGAUUGGAUGAACCUAGGUGGGAUUAGCUAGUUGGUGAGGUAAUGGCUCACCAAGGCGACGAUCCCUAGCUGUUCUGAGAGGAUGAUCAGCCACACUGGGACUGAGACACGGCCCAGACUCCUACGGGAGGCAGCAAGUGGGGAAUAUUGCACAAUGGGGGAAACCCUGAUAGCAGCCAUGCCGCGUGUGUGAAGAAGGCCUUCGGGUUGUAAAGCACUUU
rnacentral:rRNA from 1 species